rnacentral:lncRNA from 1 species
UGUUAGUUAUUGAAGCCCGGUCUCUUGAAGACAUUGAUUUAGCUUUUAAGGAUGCUGAGUCAGUUUCAAAGGAAACUGAAGUUAAGUUUGCAGAGUCCAUGCUGCCUGACUUUGACAUCAAUUCAGGCAUGCCAACGAUUGAAGCACGGUCUUUUGAAAACAUUGAUUUAGCUUUGAAGGAUGCUGAACCAAUGUCAAGGGAAGCUAAAGUUGAGGAUGCGGAGCCCACGAUACCCGAUGUUGAAAUCAGUUCAAGGAUGCCAAUAAUUGAAGCGCGAUCCCUUGAAGACAUUGAUUUAGCUUUUAAGGGUACGGAAUUAAUGUCAAAGGAAGCCAUUGUACCUGACCUUGUCAUCAAUUCAGGCAUGCCAAUGAUUGAAGCACGAUCUCUUGAAGACAUCGAUUUAGUUUUGAAGGAUGCUGAGCCACCAAUGUCAAUAGAAACUGAAGUUGAGGCUUCAGAGUCCACAAUACCCGACAUUGAGAUCAAUUCAAUGAUGCUGGUCACUGAGGCGCGAU